ACUCCUACGGGAGGCAGCAGUGAGGAAUAUUGGUCAAUGGGUGCAAGCCUGAACCAGCCAUCCCGCGUGAAGGACGACUGCCCUAUGGGUUGUAAACUUCUUUUGUAUAGGGAUAAACCUACCUCGUGAGGGUAGCUGAAGGUACUAUACGAAUAAGCACCGGCUAACUCCGUGCCAGCAGCCGCGGUAAUACGGAGGGUGCAAGCGUUAUCCGGAUUUAUUGGGUUUAAAGGGUCCGUAGGCGGACUUAUAAGUCAGUGGUGAAAGCCUGUCGCUUAACGAUAGAACUGCCAUUGAUACUGUAAGUCUUGAGUAUAUUUGAGGUAGCUGGAAUAAGUAGUGUAGCGGUGAAAUGCAUAGAUAUUACUUAGAACACCAAUUGCGAAGGCAGGUUACCAAGAUAUAACUGACGCUGAGGGACGAAAGCGUGGGAGCGAACAGGAUUAGAUACCCUGGUAGGUCAGUC
rnacentral:rRNA from 1 species